AUUGAACGCUGGCGGCAUGCCUUACACAUGCAAGUCGAACGGUAACGGGUCCUUCGGGAUGCCGACGAGUGGCAAACGGGUGAGUAAUAUAUCGGACAGUGCCCAGUAGUGGGGGAUAACUGCUUGAAAGAGCAGCUAAUACCGCAUACGACCUGAGGCUGACAGGGGGCGAUCGCAAGACCUCUCGCCAUUGGAGCGGCAGAUAUCAGAUUAGCUAGUUGGUGGGGUAAAGGCCUACAAAGGCAACGAUCUGUAGUUGGUCUGAGAGGACGACCAGCCACACUGGGACUGAGACACGGCCCAGACGCCUACGGGAGGCAGCAGUGGGGAAUUUUGGACAAUGGGCGCAAGCCUGAUCCAGCAAUGCCGCGUGCAGGAAGAAGGCCUUCGGGUUGUAAACUGCUUUUGUCAGGGAAGAAAUCUUCUGGGCUAAUACCCCGGGAGGAUGACGGUACCUGAAGAAUAAGCACCGGCUAACUACGUGCCAGCAGCCGCCGUAA
rnacentral:rRNA from 1 species